rnacentral:rRNA from 1 species
UACGGGAGGCAGCAGUGGGGAAUAUUGCACAAUGGGCGCAAGCCUGAUGCAGCCAUGCCGCGUGUAUGAAAAAGGCCUUCGGGUUGUAAAGUACUUUCAGUCGUGAGGAAGGUGUUAAGGUUAAUAACCUUAGCAAUUGACGUUAGCGACAGAAGAAGCACCGGCUAACUCCGUGCCAGGCAGCCGCGGUAAUACGGAGGGUGCGAGCGUUAAUCGGAAUUACUGGGCGUUAAAGGGCACGCAGGCGGUUAAUUAAGUUGGAUGUGAAAUCCCCGGGCUUAACCUGGGAAUGGCAUUCAAGACUGGUUAGCUAGAGUCUUGUAGAGGGGGUAGAAUUCCAUGUGUAGCGGUGAAAUGCGUAGAGAUGUGGAGGAAUACCGGUGGCGAAGGCGGCCCCUGGACAAAGACUGACGCUCAUGUGCGAAAGCUGGGGAGCAAAC